rnacentral:rRNA from 1 species
AUUGAACGCUAGCGGGAGGCUUUACACAUGCAAGUCGAACGGAGUGGCGGACGGGUGAGUAAUAUAUCGGAACGUGCCCAGUAGCGGGGGAUAACUACUCGAAAGAGUGGCUAAUACCGCAUACUAUUGGAGCGGCCGAUAUGGGAUUAGCUAGUUGGUGGGGUAACGGCUCACCAAGGCGACGCUCCGUGGCUGGUUUGAGAGGACGACCGGCCACACGUGGACUGAUACACGGCCCAGACUCCUACGGGAGGCAGCAGUGGGGAAUUUUGGACAAUGGGGGAAACCCUGAUCCAGCCAUCCCGCGUGUAUGAUGAAGGCCUUCGGGUUGUAAAGUACUUUUGGCGGAGAAGCGGUAUCUGCAGAAUAAGCACCGGCUAACUACGUGCCAGCCGCCGCGGUAAUAC